AAGAGCACUACUCAUGGUUGACCUUUGGAUUCUAUCACUACUUGGCUCUGGGUGUCACAUUGCUUUCAUUAACUGCCAUCAUAAUUUUGUGCAUAUUUAGAACACAAAGAACAAAACUAGAUAAAGUAGACGAUGAGUUUAUCUACAACAAUACGGCGCCUAACUCAAGGCCUAAGGUAACCACAGAAAUGAAUGUCUACAGCCCCAUCCGUUUGGAAAACAUAGCAGUAAAGAUAUCUAACGGGGAAGGAGGCCUAACAGAUGACAUCACCAAGCUAGAGGUCUGUUCAACCCUAAACACAUUCUUGUCGAAACCCUGUGUAAACGGAGACAUUAUUGACCCGGGGCAAACUGGUCAAGAACUAGAUGACGUGGCUGGCAAAACCUCAGAGUUAAAUGACCAGCUCGUCAAUGGUCAAGAUGUGAUGCACCAGUAGAACAAUGCAAUACAAAACAUUGAUCAGCUACAGCAACGAUUUCUAUAAGCUAUUACGGUUUACGUAAAUACAUGUAACUUUACAUAGGAAAUUUGCUUAUAUCCAAGAUUAAAUACUCUAAAGGUGUCUGAAACAUUCAAAGUUAUCUUAGUUCAAAGGUUCAA